rnacentral:rRNA from 1 species
AAGUCGAACGGCAGCGCGGGGUAACCUGGCGGCGAGUGGCGAACGGGUGAGUAAUACAUCGGAACGUGCCCUGUGAUGGGGGAUAACUACGCGAAAGCGUAGCUAAUACCGCAUACGACCUACGGGUGAAAGUGGGGGAUCGCAAGACCUCACGUCAUAGGAGCGGCCGAUGGCGGAUUAGCUAGUUGGUGAGGUAAAGGCUUACCAAGGCAACGAUCCGUAGCUGGUCUGAGAGGACGACCAGCCACACUGGGACUGAGACACGGCCCAGACUCCUACGGGAGGCAGCAGUGGGGAAUCUUGGACAAUGGGGGCAACCCUGAUCCAGCAAUGCCGCGUGUGGGAUGAAGGCCUUCGGGUUGUAAACCACUUUUGGCGGGGGCGAAAUAUCGAGUGCUAAUACCAUUCGGUGAUGACGGUACCCGCAGAAUAAGCACCGGCUAACUACGUGCCAGCAGCCGGGGGUAAUACA